GACGAACGCUGGCGGCGUGCUUAACACAUGCAAGUCGAACGGAAAGGCCCUUCGGGGUACUCGAGUGGCGAACGGGUGAGUAACACGUGGGUGAUCUGCCCUGCACUUUGGGAUAAGCCUGGGAAACUGGGUCUAAUACCGAAUAGGACCACGCGCUUCAUGGUGUGUGGUGGAAAGCUUUUGCGGUGUGGGAUGGGCCCGCGGCCUAUCAGCUUGUUGGUGGGGUAAUGGCCUACCAAGGCGACGACGGGUAGCCGGCCUGAGAGGGUGACCGGCCACACUGGGACUGAGAUACGGCCCAGACUCCUACGGGAGGUAGCAGUGGGGAAUAUUGCACAAUGGGCGCAAGCCUGAUGCAGCGACGCCGCGUGAGGGAUGACGGCCUUCGGGUUGUAAACCUCUUUCACCAGGGACGAAGCGUAAGUGACGGUACCUGGAGAAGAAGCACCGGCCAACUACGUG
rnacentral:rRNA from 1 species